UGGGGAAUUUUGGACAAUGGGCGAAAGCCUGAUCCAGCAAUGCCGCGUGUGUGAAGAAGGCCUUCGGGUUGUAAAGCACUUUUGUCCGGAAAGAAAUCCUUGGCUCUAAUACAGUCGGGGGAUGACGGUACCGGAAGAAUAAGCACCGGCUAACUACGUGCCAGCAGCCGCGGUAAUACGUAGGGUGCAAGCGUUAAUCGGAAUUACUGGGCGUAAAGCGUGCGCAGGCGGUUUGCUAAGACCGAUGUGAAAUCCCCGGGCUCAACCUGGGAACUGCAUUGGUGACUGGCAGGCUAGAGUAUGGCAGAGGGGGGUAGAAUUCCACGUGUAGCAGUGAAAUGCGUAGAGAUGUGGAGGAAUACCGAUGGCGAAGGCAGCCCCCUGGGCCAAUACUGACGCUCAUGCACGAAAGCGUGGGGAGCAAACAGGAUUAGAUACCCUGGUAGUCCACGCCCUAAAACGAUGUCAACUAGUUGUUGGGGAUUCAUUUCCUUAGUAACGUAGCUAACGCGUGAAGUUGACCGCCUGGGGAGUACGGUCGC
rnacentral:rRNA from 1 species